rnacentral:rRNA from 1 species
GACGAACGCUGGCGGCGUGCUUAACACAUGCAAGUCGAACGAUGAAGCCUAGCUUGCUAGGUGGAUUAGUGGCGAACGGGUGAGUAAUACGUGAGUAACCUACCUUUAACUCUGGGAUAAGCCUGGGAAACUGGGUCUAAUACCGGAUACGACCAAUCUCCGCAUGGGGUGUUGGUGGAAAGCGUUAUGUAGUGGUUAUAGAUGGGCUCACGGCCUAUCAGCUUGUUGGUGAGGUAACGGCUCACCAAGGCGACGACGGGUAGCCGGCCUGAGAGGGUGACCGGCCACACUGGGACUGAGACACGGCCCAGACUCCUACGGGAGGCAGCAGUGGGGAAUAUUGCACAAUGGGCGCAAGCCUGAUGCAGCGACGCCGCGUGAGGGAUGACGGCCUUCGGGUUGUAAACCUCUGUUAGCAGGGAAGAAGAGAAAUUGACGGUACCUGCAGAGAAAGCGCCGGCUAACUACGUGCCAGCAGCCGCGGUAAUACGUAGGGCGCGAGCGUUGUCCGGAAUUAUUGGGCGNUAAGAGCUUGUAGGCGGUUUGUCGCGUCUGCUGUGAAAGGCCGGGGGCUUACCCCGUGUAUUGCAGUGGGUACGGGCAGACUAGAGUGCAGUUAGGGAGACUGGAACUCCUGGUGUAGCGGUGGAAUGCGCAGAUAUCAAGGAGGAACACCGAUGGCGAAGGCAGGUUUCUGGGCUGUUACUGACGCUGAGAAGCGAAAGCAUGGGGAGCGACCAGGAUUAGAUACCCUGGUAGUCCAUGCCGUAAACGUUGGGCACUAGGGGUGGGGGACAUUCCACGUUUUCCGCGCCGUAGCUAACGCAUUAAGUGCCCCGCCUGGGGAGUACGGCCGCAAGGCUAAAACUCAAAGAAAUUGACGGGGGCCCGCACAAGCGGCGGAGCAUGCGGAUUAAUUCGAUGCAACGCGAAGAACCUUACCAAGGCUUGACAUAUACUGGACCGCAUCAGAGAUGGUGUUUCCCUUCGGGGCUGGUAUACAGGUGGUGCAUGGUUGUCGUCAGCUCGUGUCGUGAGAUGUUGGGUUAAGUCCCGCAACGAGCGCAACCCUCGUUCUAUGUUGCCAGCACGUUAUGGUGGGGACUCAUAGGAGACUGCCGGGGUCAACUCGGAGGAAGGUGGGGAUGACGUCAAAUCAUCAUGCCCCUUAUGUCUUGGGCUUCACGCAUGCUACAAUGGCCGGUACAGAGGGUUGCGAUACUGUGAGGUGGAGCUAAUCCCUAAAAGCCGGUCUCAGUUCGGAUUGGGGUCUGCAACUCGACCCCAUGAAGUCGGAGUCGCUAGUAAUCGCAGAUCAGCAACGCUGCGGUGAAUACGUUCCCGGGCCU